AUGUAACAUCAACACCAGCUCCCCUCAGUCAUUCUCAAGUCCAUCCCUGCAUGUCCACAACUACCACACCUCUGAGGUCUUUUUCUGCAAAUAUAAAUCUCGAUCAAAGAAAACCAGGAUCAUUGCCGCUCCCAGUCACACCAAACAGGAUCACACUUCCUUGGAAUAAACAGAGGCCAAGCACUUUGAGUGAGCAGGUCAGAGCAAAGACACCAGAAAAUCUCCCCAAACACCCUGAAAUCCACGUGGAACCACAGACCCACAGAUUUGGGUUCUUCUCAAUAAUAUCUGACCCAAUCAAUGUCAACUCCUUUAUCAGCACAAGCAACAGCAGACAAGAGGAGGAAGUUUUUUUCGGGAUAUUUGAUGGUAUCAUUUAGUUGGACAGGUACAUGUCUUGGACAGAAUGUAUUUUCUUUGAGACUGUUAUGGAGUCUUAUGUGUUAAUUGGAUUGUGUUUUCUAGAAAUGAAACAAAUGACUGGCUGUUUUAAUUUGUUACUGAUGAAGUUCAUGUCAGUGAAUCUGCUUUAACUUGAAGAUAUGUUCUCCACAUCAGGCAGUCUUGUUUUUGGGGUUGUAAAAUAUAUGCUGUUUUGUAAUUUUAUUAACUACAAACAUUUUUUACAUAGUUUUUGGAAAUUCCUUUGUAUCUAAAUGGGGCAGUUGGACAAUUGGUGCACUCUCCAGUGGAGUAAUCUUGGUGCAAUGACCAUCAAACGACAGAGGAGAGAGUCACAUUUCUGUUUACAGUAUAUGUCACAGGAUACCAAGGAAUCUUUAGAGAUUUUUGAAAAAUGCUCCACUUCACAUUGUUAGAAAGAAAAGAAAUGGUAAAUCUUUAUAAGCUGAUCCAGAUCAGCACAAAAAUAUAAUCCAUGAUUCCCUGAUCUAAGGACAUCUGCGCUAAUUUCAGUUAGUUUUGUCCUUCAACAGAAUGACAACUCUGUUCUCCUCUCUUGGUUGGUGGAGGUAACAAAAUUGUUGCAAAUUGUUCAUAAAACAGCUAAACGUAUUCAGUUCAAGUCCACAGCUGUCCCCAGAUGUACAUUAUUUCACAGAUACACUGGUAUGGUUUGAGUAUUUGUGUGUCAAUCACUGUUGACGGUAGGGUGCGGGGUAUCGCAGAGAGAACUUGAUGCUGUUGUGAAGUUCUUGUCAGUUUAUCUUUUAUGUGAUAUUGUUACCCUCACAACAUAGCCAUUAAUGUUUUUCAUCUUCUAACGUGAUGAAGGUUCACUUUGCUGUUCAGUUUCUAGAACAUAAAGAUGAUAAACAGCCUACUGUGUUCUUUUAAAUAAAGUUCCUUCAUUGUCA